rnacentral:rRNA from 1 species
UGGGCUCGAAAUGUUAUGGACCGGGGUAGAAAUAUCCCUUCCCAGCAAUGGGCCGUAAUAU